rnacentral:sRNA from 1 species
UAUCAUCAUUCCAGGAGGGUUAUUUGUUAGAUCCGUCUUAUCAAAAUGGCCAAAUCUGUUGCUUUCGCUGCUCUUGCUGGUCUUGCCGGUGUGUCUGCUUUCCAGCAGCCUGCCCCCAUCCAGAAUGCUGUGUCCGGUGCCUCCAAG